rnacentral:rRNA from 4 species
GAUAGCUUGCUAUCAAUGCUGACGAGCGGCGGACGGGUGAGUAAUGCCUGGGAAUAUGCCCUGAUGUGGGGGAUAACUAUUGGAAACGAUAGCUAAUACCGCAUAAUCUCUUCGGAGCAAAGAGGGGGACCUUCGGGCCUCUCGCGUCAGGAUUAGCCCAGGUGGGAUUAGCUUGUUGGUGGGGUAAUGGCUCACCAAGGCAACGAUCCCUAGCUGGUCUGAGAGGAUGAUCAGCCACACUGGAACUGAGACACGGUCCAGACUCCUACGGGAGGCAGCAGUGGGGAAUAUUGCACAAUGGGGGAAACCCUGAUGCAGCCAUGCCGCGUGUAUGAAGAAGGCCUUCGGGUUGUAAAGUACUUUCAGUUGUGAGGAAGGCGUUGAUGUUAAUAGCUUCAGCGUUUGACGUUAGCAACAGAAGAAGCACCGGCUAACUCCGUGCCAGCAGCCGCGGUAAUACGGAGGGUGCGAGCGUUAAUCGGAAUUACUGGGCGUAAAGCGCAUGCAGGUGGUCUGUUAAGCAAGAUGUGAAAGCCCGGGGCUCAACCUCGGAACAGCAUUUUGAACUGGCAGACUAGAGUACUGUAGA